rnacentral:rRNA from 1 species
AUGUUCUAUCUGAAAUCCAGUGGUGCCUCCAGUGGUGAGGUGGUGGGUAUGCGUCGCCAUGAUCAUCUCAAGACGGUCUUCAUGAGCGGGUUUCGCUGUUACAGGGCUCAGACUGAGCUGGCAUGUUGUAUCCUGGGAAAUGCUUGUGUUCUUGAGCAGCUGACAAUAGAACCAAAGAUCACAAACACAAUAUGGGGUGGUGAUUGUUAUGCGUGGAAUAAAGGCCUCGAAAGAGUUUUACCGGGCGUCUGUGAAUGGGCACAGGUCAUCUCGGAGGGCUUCGGUAAGCAAAAUUUGCUGAUUACCCGGUUCGUUCAAUGUAUCGACAACACCCGAAAGACAAGGAGGAUGAGGGUGACCACAGCGGGCCAGUUCGUUGCUGGAUUUGCGCCGCCUGAUGAGAACACCAUUGGUGGGUAG